rnacentral:rRNA from 1 species
AGAGUUUGAUCCUGGCUCAGGAUGAACGCUGGCGGUCUGCUUAACACAUGCAAGUCGAACGCAAGAGCAAUACUUGAGUGGCGGACGGGUGAGUAACGCGUGAGAAUCUGCCUUUUGGUCGGGGACAACCACUGGAAACGGUGGCUAAUACCGGAUAUGCCUAACGGUGAAAGAUUAAUUGCCAGAAGAGGAGCUCGCGUCUGAUUAGCUAGUUGGGAGGUAAGAGCUCACCAAGGCAUCGAUCAGUAGCUGGUCUGAGAGGAUGAUCAGCCACACUGGGACUGAGACACGGCCCAGACUCCUACGGGAGGCAGCAGUGGGGAAUUUUCCGCAAUGGGCGAAAGCCUGACGGAGCAAGACCGCGUGAGGGAGGAAGCUUGGGUUGUAAACCUCUUUUUCAGGGAAGAACACAAUGACGGUACCUGAAGAAUCAGCAUCGGCUAACUCCGUGCCAGCAGCCGCGGUAAUACGGGGGAUGCAAGCGUUAUCCGGAAUUAUUGGGCGUAAAGCGUCCGCAGGUGGCUAUCAAGUCUGCUGUCAAAGGGGGCUUAACCCCAAAAAGGCAGUGGAACUGAGAAGCUAGAGUGCAGUAGGGGUAGAGGGAAUUCCCGGUGUAGCGGUGAAAUGCGUAGAGAUCGGGAAGAACAUCGGUGCGAAAGCGCCUUCUGGCUNNNNCUGACACUCAGGGACGAAAGCUAGGGGAGCGAAUGGGAUUAGAUACCCUAGUAGUCC